GACGAACGCUGGCGGCGCGCUUAACACAUGCAAGUCGAACGGUAAGGCCCUUCGGGGUACACGAGUGGCGAACGGGUGAGUAACACGUGGGUGAUCUGCCCUGCACUUCGGGAUAAGCCUGGGAAACUGGGUCUAAUACCGGAUAGGACCCUGGGAUGCAUGUCCUGGGGUGGAAAGCUUUUGCGGUGUGGGAUGGGCCCGCGGCCUAUCAGCUUGUUGGUGGGGUGAUGGCCUACCAAGGCGACGACGGGUAGCCGGCCUGAGAGGGUGACCGGCCACAUUGGGACUGAGAUACGGCCCAGACUCCUACGGGAGGCAGCAGUGGGGAAUAUUGCACAAUGGGCGCAAGCCUGAUGCAGCGACGCCGCGUGAGGGAUGACGGCCUUCGGGUUGUAAACCUCUUUCAGCACCGACGAAGCGCAAGUGACGGUAGGUGCAGAAGAAGGACCGGCCAACUACGUGCCAGCCGCCGCAGUAA
rnacentral:rRNA from 1 species